rnacentral:ncRNA from 1 species
UACCUGGUUGAUCCUGCCAGUAGUCAUAUGCUUGUCUCAAAGAUUAAGCCAUGCAAGUCUAAGUACGAGCUCUCGUACAGUGAAACUGCGAAUGGCUCAUUAAAUCAGUUAUGGUUCAUUUGAUCGUACAGUUUACUUGGAUAACUGUGGUAAUUCUAGAGCUAAUACAUGCGAGAAGCGCCGACCUCGCGGGAGGCGUGCAUUUAUCAGACCAAAAACCGGCCGCGUCUUCGGGCGCGUUCGCCUUGGUGACUCUGGAUAACUUUGCGGAUCGCACGGUCUAGCACCGGCGACGGAUCAUUCAAGUGUCUGCCCUAUCAACUUUCGUCGGUACGGUAUUUGCCUACCGAGGUUCUUACGGGUGACGGGGAAUCAGGGUUCGAUUCCGGAGAGGGAGCCUGAGAAACGGCUACCACAUCCAAGGAAGGCAGCAGGCGCGCAAAUUACCCAUUCCCGACGCGGGGAGGUAGUGACGAAAAAUAACAAUGCAGGACUCGUUCGAGGCCCUGUAAUUGGAAUGAGUACACUUUAAAAGCUUUAACGAGUAUCCAUUGGAGGGCAAGUCUGGUGCCAGCAGCCGCGGUAAUUCCAGCUCCAAAAGUAUAUAUUUAAGUUGUUGCGGUUAAAAAGCUCGUAGUUGGAUUUUGGGCGCAGGCGGCCGGUCCGUCGCAAGGCGUGUACUGGACGUCCUGGCCUUCCCUCCGGUUCUCCGCCGGUGCUCUUGACUGAGUGUCGGCGGCGGCCGGAACGUUUACUUUGAAAAAAUUAGAGUGUUCAAAGCAGGCUCUCGAGCCUGGAUAAUGGUGCAUGGAAUAAUGGAAUAGGACCUCGGUUCUAUUUUGUUGGUUUUCGGAGCGCGAGGUAAUGAUUAAGAGGGACAGACGGGGGCAUUCGUACUGUGCCGUUAGAGGUGAAAUUCUUGGAUCGGCGCAAGACGAACGACUGCGAAAGCAUUUGCCAAGAAUGUUUUCUUUAAUCAAGAGCGAAAGUCAGAGGUUCGAAGACGAUCAGAUACCGUCCUAGUUCUGACUAUAAACGAUGCCAACUAGCGAUCGGGGGGCGUUAC